GGGAGUGCAAGGUUGACGGAUAAGAUCAGGAAAGCUGUCGAGAAGUAUGAUGGUGAACCACCUAUGGAAAUACAGAAGUAUGUACUCUAUCAUUGCAAGAAGUGGAAUUUGGUCUGGGUAGGAAGAAACAAAGUUGCCCCUUUGGAACCUGAUGAAGUUGAAAUGCUAUUGGGGUUCCCAAAGAAUCACACAAGGGGAGGAGGUAUAAGUAGGACGGACAGAUACAAGUCACUCGGUAACUCUUUCCAGGUUGACACAGUGGCGUACCACUUAUCAGUGUUGAGAGACUUGUUUCCAAAUGGAAUCAAUGUCUUAUCACUCUUCUCUGGCAUUGGUGGUGCUGAAGUUGCUCUCUACCGUCUCGGUGUUCCCCUCAACAAUGUUGUUUCAGUUGAAAAGUCUGAAGUGAACAGGAAUAUUGUGAGAAGCUGGUGGGAGCAAACAAAUCAGAGGGGGAAUCUCAUACAUUUUGACGAUGUGCAGCUGCUGAGCAGAGAUCGGUUGAAGAAGUUAAUAGAAUCAGUUGGUGGAUUUGAUUUAGUGAUUGGUGGAAGCCCAUGCAACAACCUUGCAGGCAGUAACAGGGUGAGCAGGGAUGGGCUUGAAGGCAAAGAGUCUUCUCUGUUUUUUGAUUAUGUUCGGAUAUUGGAUGAUGUCAAGUCCAUAAUGUCUAGACAUAGAUGAGAUACUCUCUCUGAUUUAGAUAUCCUAUUCCUUUUUCUCAACCUUGCCAAGGCUUAAGGUUAUUCUUAAUUAGUAGGGUGAAAUCAAACUAGAUACUAAUUGCAAUUAUGAAACUGAUGAAAUUUUGGUGGUUGAUGAAGUAAUGUUAUUGUUUCUGGUUCAGUUUUUCCAGAACCAGGUAUCUAAAGAAUAUAUAAGAGUAUAUCAC
rnacentral:misc_RNA from 1 species